rnacentral:rRNA from 1 species
AUGCUCAAAAGUAGCGCCACCCUUCAGAGCAGUGGAUUGCUGAAGGUUGAUGAAAUAGAUGGAAGUGGAGACAGCCUCGGCCCAAAAGUGCAAGGGAAGAGAGGUAGUGGCCAUCAACGGACGAGCUGUCUUAAGAAGGUGAUGAUGCUUACGCUCAACCAUGCCAUUCUGAGCAUGUGCACCUGGAUAAGAGAACCAAAUGCAAGAGUAUCUUGCUCAUCAAGGAUAUGCAACAACUUGGGAGAUAUACUCUCCACCAAAGUCAUCAAAGAACACACGAAUAGGCGUAGAGAACAGAAUAUGAACCGUGACAGCAAAACGCUUAUAGAUAAGACCUCACUACGAGAAGAAAUAAAGUAUAUCCAUGUGUCUGGGUCAAAGCUAUUUUUAGUGUUUGGGUCAAAUUAUUAUUUGCAAGAAGGGGUUAGAGUUUGCCUGAAAGACAAGAUUAUCAUUUGGGUUUGA